UAUAUCCUCCAUUCUCUUUGAAGGUAUUAUUGCAGACCUGCGUCAAGUGUCUCAGGUCAAUAAGACCUCCACGUGUACAAAAUCAGGUCGCAAAAUGUUCUGGGAGGCCGUUAGUUCAGGUUCCAAAAAGAUGUAUGCAAAAACCCUGGACAAGCUAAAUACAUUUUUCAGAAACGUUGUAGGAAGAGACUUUGGAAAAACUGCAAAGGAGACUCUCAGUCAGAUCCUUAAGGUGAUCAAGUCCAGAGUUGUCAACUCUGAGAGUUCACGUGAGGAAUGUCUGAUAGCCACAAACAUGUUAAAUUCCCUUCUGGAGAGCCUUGAACAGUUGCCUGACGCAUGCUCUUCCAAUGAAACACAGAGGAAAACAUCCCCUACAAGCAUUUCCAUAGACAGCUUUGCCCAGACGUCCGUUAGGAGUCUCAAUGGACAGGUCUUGGGUAUGUCAACUACCCGUAACAGUGUCAUGGACCAGGUCACCAAAACGAUGACUCCACCAGUGUUUGACAGCUUGACUGAGGUGUCCUCGUCCUCAGUGGAGCAUGUUAUUGUGCCCAGGUGGCAAACACAAGCACGUCCAACUACCUCAAGCACAAGCAUCAUCGCCAGUGACAUCACUGACAGUGAUAUUGACAGUCUUGGACCUGUGGAGGAAUUGUUGACCAGGAAUGUUAACCCAUCUGAUGCCAAUGCUGAUGGCAUGUCUCAGCUGCCUUCUGCUGGAGGAAAGCAGAUUUAUAAGACCUGGAAGUGGUUUUGCCUUCCCAGAAUGAAGAUCAGCAGCAAGUUCAAAAGAACAGGGAAACCAAAAAAACAUUCGGAAAAAGAUGUGUUCCCUACCAAAAAGAUGUGGCGUUUCCUAACCAGAAUGCCUAAAAUACCCAAGAUCAGGAUCAAGGUGUUUAUGAAUAGAACAGAACCAGUGGACCAAUCUCAACACAAUGUGCAGCCUACCAAAUGCAUCAGCCAGUCUCGUAUUUCACUCGAUGCUGAGUUUGAUGGUCCAAUGCUGGUUCCAGAAGUUCUAUCAACAUCUCCACCAAAGGAGGACCCAACACCCAAACCACCUUCUGCUGCCCAGGGGUCCCAGUCCCGUAAAUGUCCAUUCCUGCUCUCCAUGUUCCGGGGUUUCUUCAGACCAAUCAGCUGCUUUUCUAGCAAGAAGGACUAGAAACAUGUCUGCUUUGAUUUGUGCAGUGGUUUUAUAAACAAUUA
ensembl:lncRNA